UAAAACAUCGAACUUGGUACCAAAAGUGCAUGUGCAACUACUGAAACGAGACGUAAUUUAGGAAGUUGUGUGAAUUGCUCUCAAAGUGAUAAUUAAAUUGGUCCUGUGUAUGAUUAAAUUCGUAUUUAAGAAAAUUUCAACAUAUUCUCUUCGUUAGCACGGUGUAGCCGUGUCUUAGUUCAUUUUUUUUAAUUGGUUGGUUCAUUAUUUGCGUCUUUGGAAAUUGUAUUUGGCGUUAUCGGUGAUAAUGAAGUCUCGUUUGCUGGGGCUUGUUUGCCUUGUUAUGCUGGCAAUAAAUCCCGUGCAAUCUUCACCCGUAAAACAAACAAUUAACGGCAACAAAAGUUUGUUAGGUGCUAAGGAAUGCACUUGGGGGCCAUCUUACUGGUGUUCUAAUAUCGACAAACUCAACUUAAACAGCCGCGUCAUCCGGAGAAGGAAUGCUAAGACAUGUGCCGCUGUAUCACACUGUAUUCAAACAGUUUGGGAAAAGCAGCACUAUCCGGUGGAUAAUGAUGAGAUCUGCAACAUUUGUCUGGACAUGGUGAAGCAGGCACGUGAUCAACUGGAGAGCAAUGAAACGCAGGCCGAUUUAAAAGCCGUCUUCGAAGGUUCCUGCAACUUGAUUCCGAUAAAGUUAGUGAAAAAAGAAUGUCGCAAAUUAGCUGACGAUUUUAUACCCGAGUUAGUGGAGGCUCUCGCUUCGCAAAUGAAUCCAAACGCUGUAUGCAGCGUAGCUGGGCUAUGUAACAAUGCCGCCAUUGAUAAACUAUUAUCAGAGAUGAUAGUAUUAAACCCUGAACAGGAAGUACAAGGCAUUGAAGCGAAUGAGAGGGAACCUGCAGUAACUGGUGAUACAUUCAACUGUGACGAGUGCCAUACGAUUUCCAACCUAAUUCAAAAACGCUUCCGUUCGACUGAUCGGGAUAGCGUUUUGGAGAGUAUUCUACAAAUCUGCGGCAAAAUGUCAUCAUAUUCGGAUGCUUGCUCGAACAUUGUGCUGACAUACUUUGGGGUGAUGUAUGAGCAUUUGGAACGUAAUUUAAAAGUAGAAGGCGUGUGUCAUCUUAGUGGAGUUUGCGCAGCGCAGUUCCAUCUACAUGAAAAUAACAAACGAAAAGAUCUGAUUGAGGCGAGAUCAAUGGGAGAUGUCGGUAGACUACGAGUGGCUGGCGACGAUGUUCCGUGCAAACUAUGUGAGCAAUUGGUGGAUCAUUUGCGCGAUGUUUUGAUUGCGAAUACGACCGAGCUAGAGUUUAAAGAGGUAUUGGAGGGUCUGUGUAAUCAGACCAAGAGUUUUGCCGAUGAAUGCCAUAGUCUUGUUGAACAAUACUAUCGUGAAAUCUAUGAGACCUUGGUGAACAAUCUGAAUAGCAACGAUGCGUGUUUCAUAAUUGGUAUCUGUCCGAAGGAAGACGGUGUGGUCAGUAAUGGCACAGUCAUGCCAUUGUUAUCGGUGGCAGUUGCGGAUCGACAUGAACGGACCGAGAUGUACCAACGAAUGAAUCGCCCAUUGCUAGGACAUAACGAACUUAUACUGUCGGCAUCAGAAGUGCAGCAGGCUCAGCUACCGAUUGAUCGUAUUAUGAGUGCACCUAGCGGCCUAAACUUGAUCGAGAACGGCAAAUUCUGCACAUUGUGCGAGUACUUUAUGCAUUUCGUACAGGAAGCAUUAAGCGAACCAGCAAAUGAGGAUGAAAUUAAAAAAGUAAUCGAAGUCACAUGUAAUCGAUUGCCGUCGUCUAUUCGCGGUGAAUGCCAUAACUUUGUAGAUGUUUACGGCGAUGCAGUUAUAGCACUGCUUAUUCAAUCGAUAAAUCCGCGCCAGAUUUGUCCAACUUUGAAGAUGUGUCCAUCUGCCAGCUUAGAUGUCGAGAUAUUUGCUCCAGCCCCGGUCGAGGUAUCCAUUACAGCGCGGGGUGAUAAAGACAAACCAACUUGUCCACUCUGCCUUUUUGCGGUUAGUCAGCUGGAGGAGUCGGUUAAAACAGAUCGAUCGAAGGAAAAUAUCAAGAGUGCAUUGAAUAAACUUUGCACGCACUUGUCACCCAAGCUACGCCUGGAAUGCAAUGAUUUUGUUGACACAUAUACAGCUGAACUUGUCGAAAUGCUUGCAUCUGAUUUCACACCCCAAGAAAUGUGUGUUUUCCUGAAGCUUUGCGUUGACCAACGCCCAGAUCUUAGUCUUCUCGGUAUGGAACUUGACUAUGAGAAGCGUUCAUCGCACCAAAAGUCAGACAUAUUAGUAUCCUCAUCGGGUGACAUUGAGACAAAUGAAAUACCUGACAUUACUGUCAACGGAGAAAUUACGAUUGAUCACACACUGAUGAGUAGUUCACCUGAGUGUCUUGUUUGCCAGGAGAUGGUCAAAGAAGUCGAGAAACGGGUGCAAAAUAAAAAAAGCAAGGAACAAAUUAAACAGGCUCUAGAACACGCAUGUGAUCGUCUGCGGAAAUAUAAGACCAAGUGUGAGAAAUACAUCGAUCAGCAUAGUGACCAAAUCAUUGAUCUGGUAAUGAAACAGCUUUCUCCAAAGGAAAUUUGCAACGCGUUGGGAUUCUGUAUUCCUGCUCAAGAAAUCAUCGAUGACUUAGUAAUAGAUGAGGCGCUAUUCGAAUACUUCGGGGAAGAUGGAGUCAUAAAAUUUACUAAGGAUUUUUUGAUUUCAUCAAAGCGUGUCGAUACAGGUUUGGAGAAGAAUCAACCAGCUCAGUGUGCAAUCUGUGAAUUCGUAAUGGUCAAGCUAGAAUCGGAACUAGCUGACAAUAAAACUCGUACUGAAAUCGAAAACGCUGUUCGAACCGUUUGUGAUAAGAUGCCAGGCACAAUUACCAAACAAUGCGACAAAUUGAUUGAUCAAUAUGGCGAGUUCAUCAUCAAAUUCCUGCAGACGUUACCACCUAAAGCAAUUUGCACCCAACUGGAUUUAUGUAAAGAACAACUAAGUCGCUUAAAGCAAUCUGAACUUGAAAUUGUAAAAUGCGCUGUUUGUCACGGCGCUGUUAAGAAUCUUUAUGAAUUGAUGGCUCAUGAUGACAUAAAAGGCCAUAUAAUGAACCAUGUGAAUAGUGUUUGUAAUUCACUUCAGGGAGAUUACUUCACGCUAUGUGAGAAGCUGUUUACUAUGUAUGGUAUAGAUAUGAUGUACCAGCUGAAGCAUUCCAUUCAAAAGGAAUACGUGUGCAUUAACAUCAAUAUGUGCAGUAAGUCAACACUGCUGACACUUCCAGAAUUCGCUUCAGACGAGCAUGCUGUGGAUCAAUCUUUUAAAGCGCGUGUAGAAAAUGAGGAAACUAUGUUAGUCUGAAUAAGCUAAUGUAGUUUGGGAUCGGCAUCCUGGCGGAAAAAUAAAUCUAAUGCACUAAAGUGCAAGUCGAUAAGCAACUGUAAAGAUCACAACCUUGGUUUGUGAAUGGAAUGUGAAUAAGGAGGAGGAAAUUCCAUUAUCCAUCUAAAGCAGAAGUGCCUAACAUGCUUGGUUUAACCUUUGGUAACGAAUAUCGGCAAUUUAACCAACCAUUAUUUGACUUUCAUUUAUAUUAUUAUCUGAAAUUUUAAUAAGAUAUAAAGGAAUUUUGAAUGAAUAAAUGAAUUUUGAGUCAAAUAUUUA